rnacentral:rRNA from 1 species
CAGUCGCCGCGGGAAUACGUAGGUGGCGAACGUUGUCCGGAUUUAUUGGGCGUAAAGGGAGUGUAGGCGGUCUCUUAAGUCUGAUGUGAAAGCCCACGGCUCAACCGUGGAGGGUCAUUGGAAACUGGGAGACUUGAGUGCAGAAGAGGAGAGCGGAAUUCCAUGUGUAGCGGUGAAAUGCGUAGAUAUAUGGAGGAACACCAGUGGCGAAGGCGGCUCUCUGGUCUGUAACUGACGCUGAGGCUCGAAAGCGUGGGGAGCAAACAGGAUUAGAUACCCCCGUAGUCCCUGUCUCUUAUAC